UUGCGCAGUAUAGGUGGGAGGCUAAGAAAAUAUAUUUGUGGAUAUAUUAGAGCCAACAGUGAGAUACCACUCUAAUUAAACUAGAAUUCUAACCUUGAUUGCCAUAAGCUGGCCAAGGAACAGUUUCAGGUAGGCAGUUUGACUGGGGCGGUCGCCUCCUAAAAGGUAACGGAGGCGUGCAAAGGUUUCCUCAGGCUGGUCGGAAAUCAGUCGUAGAGUGUAAAGGCAUAAGGAAGCUUGACUGCAAGACCUACAAGUCGAGCAGAGACGAAAGUCGGCCUUAGUGAUCCGACAGUGCUG
rnacentral:rRNA from 1 species